UUUUGCCCGGUUCGUUCUUUUCUUUAAAAACCCUAAACAAGAAUCCAUUGUUUCUCAACAUCGUUUAUCUCUUUUCUUUCAAACCUUAAUACUGAUCCCCUUUUCUCUGUCCAUCGAUCUGCACAGUUGUCCCAGUUCUAGACCAGUUGAUUGGAGAAGGAAAAUAUGUUGAUCAACCAGAGAUUUCUUUAAGCUAAAUAAACACCUCUGAAAUUUGGUCGUUACAAGCAUGUUGUCCAGUUUCAGCAAGUGAUGCAACCAAUGCUGCUGUUAAUAUGUGUCAGCAACGUGCACAGCACAAGCUUAAUGGUUUACAAAAUGGCUAUAUAAAAGAAAAGAAAAGAUUAGAUCAUAUGAGUCGCUGUGGUUUUGGGCCAAUAAAGAGAACUUUGAGGUGAUUAUAUCCAACUGCAAGCAAGAAUUAGUAUUUGCAAUUCCCAAGUUGAGGAAUAUCAACAAAACAGUUGCUUUAAAAGAAUUUACAAAAUUUUAACAUUAGAGGUUGAGGAAUAUGAAUCAAUGAAUGUCCUUAUGGUUGAUUUAGCACCACAGAAUAUAGAUAGUGUGAAGGAGAUUAUGCAACCCCAACUCUAAUACUGAAUAUGGUGUUGGAAAGACUUUUUUCCUCCUAAACGCAACCUUGAGGUGUAUGACUUAAUCAGAAGAUUCCUCAUCUCUAUCUUUAAAAAAAGUAAGUAAAACUAAUGAUGAAGAGAAGGAUAAUCAGAAGCAAAAACUUUUGAUUCGUAAAUUUAAGAUGUAAUUACUAUAUUUUAAAUUUUACAUACAUUUUAUUUGAACUUGUGGUUUGCUUUCAUCUACGUUCCAUGUUUGGUUAAUAUAUAAUUUUAAUUACUUA
rnacentral:lncRNA from 1 species